CACGGGGGGGAGCAAGCGUUGUUCGGAAUCACUGGGCGUAAAGGGCGUCUAGGCGGUCAGAUAAGUGGGAUGUGAAAUGCCCCGGCUCACCCGGGGACCGGCAUCCCAAACUGUCUGGCUUGAGUAUGGGAGAGGAUGUGGGAAUUCCUGGUGUAGCGGUGAAAUGCGUAGAUAUCAGGAGGAACACCGGUGGCGAAGGCGCACAUCUGGCCCAAUACUGACGCUAAAGCGCGAAAGCUAGGGGAGCAAACAGG
rnacentral:rRNA from 1 species